ensembl:lncRNA
CAAACACACAGGAUCUAUGGCAUUUUUUGCAGUCUGCUGUGAUAAUUCUAUUAACUAUAUUGUCGAUAUAGGAAUCAUUACCUUCGUCAUUAUUUAUUAAUGAGUUCACCCAUAUAAGGCUCAGUUGUGUUUUUUUUUUUAAUCUGUGAAUUCAGGUUGACAUGAAUGUAAAUGAGACUAUUUUUGAUUUGAUUCUUUUGUUUUAAUUUAAGUGGAUUGAAGAUGAAUAGUAAUGUCACAUAGUGUAAUAUAUGUCUUAUUUAAGUCCAGUAAGAAAGCCACCCCAGGCAUUAGGAUCAUUACAGUGAAGGAUCACCUUAUAUAUCCAGUCAAAGAAAAGAACAGGGAACACACACAGACACGCACACGUUUUCACACUGAAACAGAACAUUAUGAUGCCAUAUUUGGUGCUAGAAAAGGGAAAUCACCAUAUCUAUGAUGCAGACUGCAGUAAGACUUCUAGAUUAGCAAGAAAAGCUCUAAACCUCUCGUACCACAGGCUGCAGUGCAGCUGAAUUAACCUACCUGGUUAUCAUGCUUAGCUCCUAGCUCAUGCUGCAAAAGAUCACUGCUGUUUAUAUGCCCUGUUGCAGUUUGCCUGCAUUGUAAAGUUGUAACUAAAAUGAAUAAUCCAGUUGAACUGAAACUAAUUCUCGGAUAAACUGCUGCUCGGCCUGUGGACACCCGAACCCUUCGGAUUAACCCAAACCACAGACUAGAUAGAGUGAGAGCAAUUAAGACUAACAAGAUACUACUGAGAAAUGCAAACAUUUAGUCGGAGGUAACACUGAAACGUGACAAAGGAACGUCGUUUAUCUGGGGUCCACUGCUGAAUCUGCAAGCCUCGCUAGUAGAUUUGCUUUUUUACGGCAGCGUGCAUAUCAGUAAUGGAGAUAAAUAGGCUCACUGACCUUUGCUCUUAUCACGCAUCCGUCCAACUGCCAAUGAGAUGAAGGGCAGAUGAGAGAUUUUUAACAUAUGUCCUGGGAGCUGAGCUCAUUUCUGCCUCUGGCAAGCUGUAGGUCUCCCUCGGAAACGGAUUUACUGCCCACUGUAGACCCAGGAGGCUGCUGAAGAUGCUGUUGUUUCUUCUGUUGUUGAGUUUUUUUUGUUUGUGUCGUGUUAUUUUUGUCUGUUUUUUUUAACAAUCGGAGUACACUGAAUUUUUUUUGUCUUAAUGCACUGUGAAGCGAGGGAGAGUUUCUCUCGACCUAUGAGGUCAGGGAUGUGUGCUAUAGAUGGCAUCGUUGACUGGAUGGUUUUUUGUAUGGCAGGGAAAAAAACACACAUAUAUGAAAUAUAUGUAGAAUGCAUAUGAAGAACUUCACCGGAAAUGCACAUCAUAUCUGAAUAUUGACGGAGGUGAAAGAGACUAGGUCGAUGAAGAGGAUCAAUCAAUUGAGGUCAAUUAGAUCCUACUUACCUGUUAUCUUGGAAAAGUGUUUCGUAAUUAGGGGGCAGGAUGUUGGGGAGUGUUAGGUGUCCAGUAGUAGAUCAAAGAGACUGGAACAAAUUCUAAAUUCAAUAUCCUAUCGCAGCUGUGUCUUUCUCACGUACUGCACAUCCAACAGGCAAGUCCCUGGACAGAGAUUUAAUUCUAACAGUAGCUGAAGUAUGACGGAAUGUAAAAGGCCAAAAAUGAGGAGGGGGUGCAUUUGAUUUAUUGACCUAAAAGCCUGGUGAGGGGAGGGAACACCUCUAAGACUAAACAAACAGACCUUUUGAUUCUUUUGAAACCAAUCCGACCCAAAAUCCUCCACUGUGCUUUUGAAUGUGUCACUCUCUGUUGGAGCGCCAGUGAGGGUUUAUCUCCACAGCUUGGUAAGGAGGCUUCUUUACUCCCAUCUAACACCAUCCACACUCUCCUCACCCUCCCACCCGUCCUCAGUUUUCCAGUGCACUCCCAUCCUGACACCCCCUCUCCUCCUACCACAUCGCUCCAUGGGUGACUAUGUCUGGUGUUACGAUCAAUGCAUGUCUGCUGCUUGCCCCGACAAAUGCCACAGAUUGAGCCUCUUCUCUCUUUGCCUCCUCGGGCAGCUGAGGCUCGGGCCACCAAAUGCGACACUAUCAGAAAAUAACCACGCCCGAAGAGGAAGUCAUAGCUGGCAGGGCACAGUGCAUAAACACUCUUAUUUGUAGUUUGUACUUCAUAACAGUGACGAGAUACAUUACUAGCUUGGAAAACAUUGCACAAACACACACAUAUUUCGAGGGAAUAAUUUCUCUUUGAUAGGGUUUGACUGGAUUUUAUUGCAAAACCUCAUAAAAGAUCACAGGAAGCCAGUGUGCUUUUGCUCUGCUAUGGAAAUAUACUGUGCUGAAUGCAUUCAGUAGGCUGAUUUCCAUUUCAUUUAGAGUAAGAUUUGCCUUUUUUCUGCAGGUAGACUCAUUUAUGGACUUAAUAUCUAUUGAGCAAUUUUGGAAAAUAAUUUUAGGUUUGUUGGUCAGACAAAACAAGCAAUUUGUCACAUGUAGUUGUUUAGCGGAAACAAUAAUUACUCAGGUAAUUUAAAGAUUUUGAAUGCUAAUUAAUUGAAAGUCAUGUGGCCGUGUUUCCUCCCCCUGCUUUGGAAAGCGUGCAUGCAGCACAGUAUGUUUACAGUGGCAAAACUGCACUGAAAUUUCUUAUAUAGGUGCCAUUUGAUUUAAUACUUUAAUUCUUUUUUAUCUUAUUAAUUAAACCUUAGGAUGACUGUCUUUUACACAGCAGCUAAUCUCUUUAGUUAUCAUAACGUUAGGGGAUUGAGAUAAAAUGUGACAAGUACUAGAAGCAAUACAUGUUGUGUCGUCCCGUCCCUUAUCCUCUGUGUGCCGUAGGAGCUUUUGGAUUUACCCGUAGAUGUUGGAUAGGUUUACACGAGUAAUUUUUUUUUCAAUUUGUGGAAGAUGCUGCUAUUUAAUAAUAAUAACAAGAAAAAAAUACAAGGUAAAAACAUAUCGAAAUCUGUCCUUUAGCUGGAGAGGCUAGUUGCAAGCAGUGUAAUACACGCUCUGUUAUAAGCUGACAAUAAGUUAAUAAGAGCAUAAUUUUAACCUGAACAAGUAAAACCUGUGCCAAAACAGAACUGUAAAUGUGUUGAUUUAAAUCACAUUAGGUAAGAGGAGACAUACUUUUAUAUUAAGAAAAUGUGAAAAGUGCCAAAUGAACCAUAUUUAUAAAUCAAUACAUAGGGGGUCAGUUUUUGAGAACUAGGUACACUAACAGACAAAGCGCUUCAGUAUAGCAGUUUGUUCAAUCCCUCUUCACUCCUGCCACAAGACGAGGGACCGCCAUGUUAGCCAAGUGUUAGCCUGUCCUCUGGGAACUACUCUUCCCAGGAUGCAACAGCACUAUGACUCUGGGGCUAGAGUAUCAAUAUAGUGAUAGGUUAGCAUAAUAAUGCUAAAAAAAAAAUGUGACUAGAUAGCAUUCUUAAACACAGCCUUUUAUAGUUACGAUGAAGAUGUAUUUUGUGGAAAUAGAUGUUAUCUUUUUUGCACGUCUAUAUUGCAUGAUAUCAAAGUGAAGCGUGGACAAAAAAAAAAAAUCAAAGAAACAAAAAAAGAAAAACCAUUUAGGAAGUGUGUGUUGUUCAUUUUUCGGAGACAAAUCUUUGCAUGCCGAUAAGGGUAGAGCAUUUUGGUAUUGUUUUACACGCGUUCAGAUGUUCGUUGUUUUUCGAUGCAGUCGUGUCAAGUCCCGGUCCACCUGCUGCAGGUGAAGACGAUGUUUGAUUUCGAUGUCACGACCGAGUGAGUAUUUUGUCGCUAAGCUGUCUAACCUUCCUCAGAGGGAUACGAACAAAACUCUCGAACAAACCUAAGACUAUUUUGCUACUUGUUGAGCGAGCUUGGACUAAACGCUUCUCAGUUCCUACUUAACUUUCGAACAAUUUUUUGAAGAAAAAAAAAAUCUGGAUUUAUUUUCAAAUAAUAGACUGAGAUUGUCCAUGAAUGUACUCACCUCUCCAUAAGUUUGCAUAUCACUCUUCUGACCACUGGCGUGCAGUAGAGGCUUACAUGUGUUUUAGUGUGUCUCUGUAAUCUAACCUUACUAACCCCUCGACGCACUCUGUCAGGCUCUCAGUAUUAAUAUGUUGUCUGUCCUUUGAGCCCCCACGCUCUGAGCUCUGGCUUGUCUUGUCAUUGAAUUGCACCUUAUUGACCUCAAAUAUGACAUGGAGCAUCUCUGGUCCCGCCCCUCGUGGUCACAAGUGACUCGUAAAGAGAGACAGUGUGUGAGAAAGAGGUGAAAGAUCCCCUCCCUUACUUUUAAAUCCAAAAUAACGCACAGACACACUAUGCUGUGUGCUGCACCGCCUGCCUCCCUUGGGUGACUCGCUGCAGAAUUUGGGACAGAUUGUGUUUUCACUCCCUUAACAUGCAAUCCAAGGCUCUGAUCUCGGGGAGAGAGAGAAAAAACAGCACUGAACAUUGCCAGUGUGGGUUUUGAAUCCUGAUCCCCCUCCUCCCCUCUCUCUCUGUCUCUCUCUGUCCUAAGUUUCCCAGUUCAGUUUAAUUAGAUGCUAUUGGCUUCGGUGUCAAAUUUUUUUGUUUUUUUGCCAAAGUCUCUCUCCGGAUUUGCAGUGCGGUCAUGCUUCGUAUACUGACAGAUGUUGUCAUGGGAAGUGGCCCGCUGUUCACAAAACUAACUGAGAUGGGGAAACGAUCGGGAUUUCCAUUAUUGCUCCUCAGUGACACGUUUGCACUAAACCUUCUGCUGUUACAGUGCACGGCACGCCGAGCUGAGGUGGGGGUCAGUGUGCGAGACUACUGUAGAUGGUAGCCUUACUGUAGGUGUUCAUUCAGCAUUGUAUUUAGAUGUGCAUGCUCCUCUCUCUCUCCCGCCCUCUGAGUUUGUCUGCUUUAGGCCCGCUCCGUGGUGUCUGUGUUGCGGCGUAGCUGGCUAGCCAUGUUUUAUUCAUGUCUUAUUUUUGUUGGCUUUUGUUUUUACUGUAACGUGUAGAGGAAUGCAAACUCAAUUCUAACCUGCUCGCCAGGUGACCUCAUUGCUUCUCAGUGGGUGUGUGGCUCUCCGACAUAGUCCCCAGCUCUUGUUCUCUGCCCCCCGCCUACCCUCCACCGCCACGCCUACCUCCACAAACCCACUCUCACCCACACCCACCACCUUUUCAAAACAACAUCUAAGACAUCUUUUGGGACCCCGCUCCCCACCCCCUUUUCCACCCUUCUUCCUCCCCCAACUCGGGCCCCAUCGAAGCACCAGCAACGGUAGACUGCAUUUGUCAUAUCACUGUUUUUCUGUUCCUUCUCUCGUUUCUCUGUUUAUUUUUUUCCUGGUUUUGAUUUGUACUGUAUGCUCUAACCCAAACCAGUUUUAACAAAAUGCCAUUUUCUGUAUGUAGCCUGUUUACCCUACUCCACCCCCCCCCCCCCCUACACACACACACACACACACACAAACACAAUAUCCUCCAUGCCCUCUUUUUUUGCACUUUCACUGCCCACUCCUCCUCCUCGCCCAAACAUACACACACUUUCCUCCUCCGCCUCCCACGAGUCUCUUCUCUCGAGUGCCAAAAUAGAACAGAGAGGGAAAAAAAGCAAAACAAAACAAAAAAAAAGACAACAACAACAACUACUACUACCAUUCCAAGCGUUUCUUUGAGUUGUUCUUGUGUGUCGGACAUCCAUCCUGGAAGCACCCAUGAAGCCAGCAUGCUCCGCCCUCAUAACAUGAUGUCGCUCAUGACGCCUCAACUGAACAGCACCUUGCCCCCCACCACCACCACCUCCUCCUCCUCCUCCUCCUCCUCCUCACCACCCCCACAGAGCUAAACCCGACAAGGAUUAACCCUUCUGCAGGUUGGCUACCUACCUACUGUCCUGCCUCUCAACCUACCUUAAAAAAAAAGCCCUACCGCUCAUGCCAGCUGCUUUCCUAAUUCUGUCAUUUCUUCAGCCUGUGGGACUUCAUUGAUUGUGUGCCAUAGUGUUGGGGGCACCUUUCACUCUCCUCACCUCCCCCUUCUUUCUAUACCCCCACCCCACCUUUCUCUCUCUCUCUCUCUCUAUAACCCCUCUCGCUCUCGCUCCAUUUGAUUUUUCUCGAUGGGAAAGAUUAAAAAAAAACCUCCAUUUUCUAAUGAUGAUUUUUUUUGUUGUUGUUUAACAUCCAAACCACGCACGCCGACACAUGCACCGCCCCCAGUGCAGUGGUGUGGGGAGUGUUUACGCACCGUCAGCUGCGCAGCCAUCCUCUGUCUUCUUGAACUUUUUGAACUUUCACCCCCUCAUGAACUUUAUUGACCUUCUUCCUCCUCCUCCUACCCCCCUUCUGUGUUCAUCCAACUGUUUGGACGAUAACUCUCCAUUCCAUCCCCAAAACCUCUCUGAGACUGUGCAAUGCUAGCUGAUAUGAUUGGAUUUUUUUGUUUGUUUGUUUGUUGCUCACCAUUGGGGACAGUUCUCGGAGCUAUAAGUCAAAAAAGAACAAAAAAAAACAUAUGAAAGGAAGAAAAAAAUAUUUUAAAAAAUGCAGACAAACAAAAAAAGGAUAAAACACUAAACAAUUGUUUCUCCACAAUUUCAUUUUUUUUCUCUCUCAUUGUAAAUAUUUUUGUCAGAUUUUUUGCCGAGGUGUAAAGAGAGAAGUGUUGAGCAGAAAGGGGCGGGCAGCAUAAAGAGAAACUAGUGGACGCGGUAGACGAUCGUAACACUUUUCAUCCUCUGUAUCCGAUACUUAGGUCUGCCUGUAUAAUCGGCUAUGCUAGUUCUACUGUGUUAACCUGUGCUGUUGUUAUUAGUGUUGAUUUACCUACUGUAUUCGCUGUUUAGCGUUCAUGUCGGCUAGCCAACUUUUUAGAUAAGUGUGCUCAUCAAAUAAUAAUACUAAUCUUGAGAAAUAGUCCGAGCCAUUCUCAACGUAGGCUUGCUUUUGUACAUUUGUUGAUGUUUCUUAACAGUGAGUUGUAGUGGCACUAGUAUCUUUUUAAUCAUCAAGCCAUAGUGAUUGAAAACGCUUGGUCAUGUUAGAGACAUAUCAUCGUGGAAGACGGCUCGACUCAGCUCCUCCAAGUCGGAGAAAGAAAAACAAAAACAGGGAGGCGGAGGCGGAAAAUUGAAAAACAAAAGAAGAAGAAAUUAAGCUUCUCCCGGGCUACAAAAUGAGGAAGAUGAGCUGCUAACUUUUGUGCAAUACAGUCCUAGUUUACAUAACAUAGAAGGAUAGUUUAGAGAUGAUUAACCUCUGCAGGUGCCGCUCAACCACUCCGCUGCCUGCAGAACCAAACUUGUAUCAUAUCUCCAUAUUUCGCCUCCACAUCAAAGACAUGUUGAAACUAUUAAAGUGACUGUGUGAGAUUAGACUCCACCAUUUCAUUGCAUUGCUCUGAGCUCCACUCUUGAUUUAUGCUGCCUGCCCCAUUGCCUUGAGAACACCACAUGAGCUAUUUAUUUCUCAGACUAUUAUUAUACUAUUAAUAAAUAACAACACAACGAGAAAAAGGGAACGACUGGAAAAAGGUGAAUUAAUAUUAUAAUUGUUUUGUUUUUAUUUUUAGUAUUUAGUGGUUGCUUUUAACAACAUUCAUUAACUGACUUAAAGAUUACUGAAUAUUUAAUGUAAUUGUAGCAUUGUGUUUGUAAAGAGAAAAAAACCUAGUGAGUUGUGUUUCUUGACUUGUGGAUUACCAGUGAAGUGGGCAAUCUAGUGCUAAUAUAUAUGAGGUCUUUUUUUAAGGAUUCUUAUUUUGCGACAGCAACAGCAGUCAUUAUAAAUGUUCAUUUUAGCAUCACCUGUCUUCCGUUGUCUUAUUCUUCACCUUCCACCACACUCUGCAUCAUCACAGUAACACAUCGCAAGUCUGAGGGUGGGGACCGAAUGUGUGUUUGGGCGAAUCGAGGUGCGCGCGCGAGGGUGUGUGUGAGCAGCGUGUGUCGUGAAUGUGCGUUAGUUAACGAACCUGUGUUUAUUUGUGUGUCUAUGCAAAAUAUGGUGCACAUGUGCUUGUAUCUUGCGUGUCUGUCUGCUCACACGUGCGAAUCUGCGUGCGUCUGCGUGGAUGUGUGUGUGUGUGCGAUUGUUGGGUCUGUGAGGGGGGGUUCGGGGUGGGUGUUGUGUCCAGUGUCCACCAAAAGCUAAAACUUGUCAGGCUUCCAUACUUCCUGAUGGAACCUCCUGACGUUAUAGCUGCAAACCCUCAUCAUGUGAUCUGACUCAACUCGACUGUCCAUAACCCCUUCAGUCACCUGACCAACCAAAUCAACCAAUCACUGUCCACCACUACCGCCUUCCCCCUGCGCCAUCCUUUGCUGCACACCACGUCAGCCCCAUGUGAUGUUCUCCAUUGAUAACAUACUACUGUCACAAUCUACUGUUACAUGCUGACAGAUCUGGGGAUAAAUACGCUUGCUUUCGUUCAUUCGAGGUGUUUUCACCUUUGAGAUUAUUACUAAGCGCUCCUUAAAUCAAGGCAAGUGUCCCUCAGGUUGUUUGACUUUUAAAGGAUCAGUUCACCCAUAUUUAAUGUUUUCCCAACAAGUGCAAUAUCUGUCAAUAAUUUAUGCUCCAAAACGCUGGAGGUGAAUGGAGUUAAGUCCGUGGUGGUGCUCACAGCAUUAAAAAUGCAUAUGUAAAUUUAAUUCACAUUUGUGUGCAUAUAUUUCUGAGGAAACCACAGCCCUCGCUGCAAACAGCUUUGCUGUAGUUUCUGGGACUGAUAAGUCAAAACACCACGUGAGUCAAAAAGACAGGUGCUGUCUAACCAUCUAAAAAAAUUUGAAUGUGACUUGAACAGUUUGGGAGAUUUUAGCUGUACAGAAGUCAGAUUUCUCUUAAAUAAUAAUGAAGGAGAUAGGCUACAUUUACCAAAUAACAGCAAUGCCCUUCUCUGUUAUAUAAGAAACUCCUUGUGAAUAAUUUUAUGUAGAAAGUAUUUUCUCUCUGCCAAACUACACCUGCUAACUGUGGAAGGAAACGUGCAUCUACCUGUGACAAGACAGCUGAGCUGUGAUGAUGGUUAGCUACAUGUUUCCUUUAAGUGGCAGAUAUAGUUCCAUAGAAGCGAAAUAAAAAUUACAUCAAAGAUAAUAAAGAUAAUUUUUUGUUUGUUUUUUAGUAAUCUUUUCAAACUCUAAGAAAAUAGCACUCGACAAGUACAAAUUUGGAUUUAUAACUUGAAAUGUUGAGAUGAUAACCCAGCCUUACAAAAAUAAAUAAAUCAGCAACUUAAACAGGCUUCAGUAGUUACUGCUGUGGUGUCAUCCAAUCAUGUUUUUUGGUUCCUUGAUCACCACAGCCCGGGUCCCGCAUAGUUUUAUUACACCGAAAAGCUGGUAUCUCCAAAAUUGGGCAGCUUACACCAAAUAAAUCGAGAUGGAUAAAUAACUCUAUGGCCCAAAAUGUCAAUUUGAUUUUGAGAAGAACUGUACCUCUAAGUAAGAAACUAUUUCUUGGAUAGCUUGGAUGAACUGACCCGUUAAUCAGCCUGAGGUGGACUUGUUCUGUUUAAUUUCUUCAGCGUCAUUUAAUGAAAUUUAGUUUGUUUUCCCCAGAACUGCAUAUUACAUUUCUACUGUUCAUACUACUGUACGUGCUGCAUACUACCUUACCAGGUCAGAAUCCACCUUAACCUGUCUCCAUGCCAACCACAGAGGAGCCAGUUGCAUGGCAACCGGCUUCCGCCACAACAAAACAACCUACCAACCAGCCAUCUUUCUCAACUGAUGAGGCCACGCCCACCUGACUAUGAUCGCUCCGUAGAAGAAGAGAUAGAGGAAGAGAGAGGAUAGGAAGAAGGGAUGACAGAUGAAAGAGAUGUAGUUGUGAUUCUCAGGGUGUCUUAUAUAGAUCUACUGUUUAGUCUGUUCUCCAGUCUCUCACUGGUGUCCUGUUGCCCCUAACUGAGCCCAAAGACGAUCAUGUCCUCCUCUGAUAAAGUCCUUGUUUGAUUGACUACUGACUAAUUCCUCUCCAUCAGUUGAUUGAUAGUAUUGAUUGACCAAUUCUCUUGAGAGCUUGAGCUGAAAGGAGCUCAGCACUGUAACUAAUGUUUACAACCCAAAUGAGACCAACAACGCUGUUGAAAGAAUGUCUAGGACUUAAAAAAAAAGGGAAAAAAAAGAAAAAAAGAGAGACAAAUCUCUGAAGAGUACUUAUUUCUAAAUGAUGGAACUUUUCGCUUACUUUCUAUGUGACAUGAGGUAAUGUAAUUUUUUUCAGUCAUUGCAUGUGACUAUUUUUAUUUGCAAUGAAACUGUUAGAAUGGAUGGUACAUUUGUGACGUCAGUGCAACGUUCAGACACCGACGCUAGAAGUCAGCCGGUGUCUACUAAGUGUUUUCAUGUCGCCGUGAGGAGUGCUUAUGGACCAAUGAAUGCUAAAUGUGUGACCAUACAAAGCUGUAAAGGUUUUGUUUAUUUGUACAUGGUUAUGGGUAAAAUAAACCAUUGAAGCAAAUUAACAUCUUUAGUCUUAAGGAGUAAGCCCUCACACGUUUAUUUGUAAAGUCAGUGCCGAGAAAGGUACUUUGGAUAAUGCAGUCGAGGUAAGUUUCAACAGUUAAAGCUGGUGAUGUGCUUCCAUUCAAACACUCGGAGGGCUCGAUGUAGUUGUGUCAAAGUGUUAGAGAGGGUCAAGAACGAAAGAAAAUCAGGGUUCGAUCCACUUCCACACAUCACCAUCCUCCCUACGACAGGCAUCACAAUCAAGAAGGGGUGAGCUUCAACUCUCUGACAUAUCCAUCUACCCACAAUCCUCCUGUGCACCAGAGUCAUCCGAUCAACAAACACCUGCACCCCCGCAUCCACCAUGUCAGCUCCUGUGACCUCUGGCCAAAUCGUCUCAGCCCUCUCCAUGCCAUCGGCUAAGUGGCUAGUGGCUUUUUGAGCUGUUGUUGCAAAGCCUCCUGGGAAAUGGAGUCACAAACAAUUCACAGCAUGGUCUGACCAACCUCUUGUCACUCUCCUCCCACACACCUUUCUCCAUACGCCACUAAAGAAGUUCCUCCGGCUUCCAGCGAGAAGGUCAUGCCAUUUUGUUCCUGAUGGGUUAGGUCGCCACAAACAAGAACAUAUACGGGCUUUCCGGGCAGCUAAAAAUACAAUAUGGAAAAAAUGG